GACGAACGCUGGCGGCGUGCUUAACACAUGCAAGUCGAACGGAAGGGCCCUGCCUUUGUGUGCUGCUCGAGUGGCGAACGGGUGAGUAACACGUGAGUAACCUGCCCCUGACUUUGGGAUAACUUCAGGAAACUGGGGCUAAUACCGGAUAGGAGCUCCUGCUGCAUGGUGGGGGUUGGAAAGUUUCGUCGGUUGGGGAUGGACUCGCGGCUUAUCAGCUUGUUGGUGGGGUAGUGGCUUACCAAGGCUAUGACGGGUAGCCGGCCUGAGAGGGUGACCGGCCACACUGGGACUGAGAUACGGCCCAGACUCCUACGGGAGGCAGCAGUGGGGAAUAUUGCACAAUGGGCGGAAGCCUGAUGCAGCAACGCCGCGUGCGGGAUGACGGCCUUCGGGUUGUAAACCGCUUUCGGCUGGGAAGAAGCGUGAGUGACGGUAAUGGGUAAAGAAGCACCGGCUAACUACGUG
rnacentral:rRNA from 1 species